rnacentral:rRNA from 1 species
AGAGUUUGAUCAUGGCUCAGAUUGAACGCUGGCGGCAGGCCUAACACAUGCAAGUCGAGCGGUAGCACAGAGAGCUUGCUCUCGGGUGACGAGCGGCGGACGGGUGAGUAAUGUCUGGGAAACUGCCUGAUGGAGGGGGAUAACUACUGGAAACGGUAGCUAAUACCGCAUAAUGUCGCAAGACCAAAGUGGGGGACCUUCGGGCCUCAUGCCAUCAGAUGUGCCCAGAUGGGAUUAGCUAGUAGGUGGGGUAACGGCUCACCUAGGCGACGAUCCCUAGCUGGUCUGAGAGGAUGACCAGCCACACUGGAACUGAGACACGGUCCAGACUCCUACGGGAGGCAGCAGUGGGGAAUAUUGCACAAUGGGCGCAAGCCUGAUGCAGCCAUGCCGCGUGUGUGAAGAAGGCCUUCGGGUUGUAAAGCACUUUCAGCGGGGAGGAAGGCGGUGAGGUUAAUAACCUCAUCGAUUGACGUUACCCGCAGAAGAAGCACCGGCUAACUCCGUGCCAGCAGCCGCGGUAAUACGGAGGGUGCAAGCGUUAAUCGGAAUUACUGGGCGUAAAGCGCACGCAGGCGGUCUGUCAAGUCGGAUGUGAAAUCCCCGGGCUUAACCUGGGAACUGCAUUCGAAACUGGCAGGCUAGAGUCUUGUAGAGGGGGGUAGAAUUCCAGGUGUAGCGGUGAAAUGCGUAGAGAUCUGGAGGAAUACCGGUGGCGAAGGCGGCCCCCUGGACAAAGACUGACGCUCAGGUGCGAAAGCGUGGGGAGCAAACAGGAUUAGAUACCCUGGUAGUCCACGCCGUAAACGAUGUCGAUUUGGAGGUUGUGCCCUUGAGGCGUGGCUUCCGGAGCUAACGCGUUAAAUCGACCGCCUGGGGAGUACGGCCGCAAGGUUAAAACUCAAAUGAAUUGACGGGGGCCCGCACAAGCGGUGGAGCAUGUGGUUUAAUUCGAUGCAACGCGAAGAACCUUACCUGGUCUUGACAUCCACAGAACUUAGCAGAGAUGCUUUGGUGCCUUCGGGAACUGUGAGACAGGUGCUGCAUGGCUGUCGUCAGCUCGUGUUGUGAAAUGUUGGGUUAAGUCCCGCAACGAGCGCAACCCUUAUCCUUUGUUGCCAGCGGUUCGGCCGGGAACUCAAAGGAGACUGCCAGUGAUAAACUGGAGGAAGGUGGGGAUGACGUCAAGUCAUCAUGGCCCUUACGACCAGGGCUACACACGUGCUACAAUGGCAUAUACAAAGAGAAGCGACCUCGCGAGAGCAAGCGGACCUCAUAAAGUAUGUCGUAGUCCGGAUUGGAGUCUGCAACUCGACUCCAUGAAGUCGGAAUCGCUAGUAAUCGUAGAUCAGAAUGCUACGGUGAAUACGUUCCCGGGCCUUGUACACACCGCCCGUCACACCAUGGGAGUGGGUUGCAAAAGAAGUAGGUAGCUUAACCUUCGGGAGGGCGCUUACCACUUUGUGAUUCAUGACUGGGGUGAAGUCGUAACAAGGUAACCGUAGGGGAACCUGCGGUUGGAUCACCU